GACGAACGCUGGCGGCGUGCUUAACACAUGCGAGUCGAACGGAAAGGCCUUGCUUUUGUGGGGUGCUCGAGUGGCGAACGGGUGAGUAACACGUGAGUAACCUGCCCUUGACUUUGGGAUAACUUCAGGAAACUGGGGCUAAUACCGGAUAGGAGCUCCUGCUGCAUGGUGGGGGUUGGAAAGUUUCGGCGGUUGGGGAUGGACUCGCGGCUUAUCAGCUUGUUGGUGGGGUAGUGGCUUACCAAGGCUUUGACGGGUAGCCGGCCUGAGAGGGUGACCGGCCACAUUGGGACUGAGAUACGGACCAGACUCCUACGGGAGGCAGCAGUGGGGAAUAUUGCACAAUGGGCGGAAGCCUGAUGCAGCAACGCCGCGUGCGGGAUGACGGCCUUCGGGUUGUAAACCGCUUUCGCCUGUGACGAAGCGUGAGUGACGGUAAUGGGUAAAGAAGCACCGGCUAACUACGUG
rnacentral:rRNA from 1 species